UUGAGCCGUAUGCGGGGGAACUCGCACGUACGGUUCUUAGGCGGGGGGGGGGGAGAGCUAGUAGGAACCAUCCUAUCCCAAU
rnacentral:ncRNA from 1 species